CCUACGGGUGGCAGCAGUGAGGAAUAUUGGUCAAUGGACGCGAGUCUGAACCAGCCAAGCCGCGUGCAGGAAGACUGCUCUAUGGGUUGUAAACUUCUUUUGUAAGGGAGUAAACUCAGAUACGCGUGUCUUUCUGAAAGUACCUUACGAAUAAGGAUCGGCUAACUCCGUGCCAGCAGCCGCGGUAAUACGGAGGAUUCAAGCGUUAUCCGGAUUUAUUGGGUUUAAAGGGUGCGUAGGCGGGCGGAUAAGUUAGAUGUGAAAGUCCGAGGCUCAACCUCGUAAUUGCCGCUGAUACUGGUAGGCUAGAGAGCAGUUGAGGUAGGCGGAAUGCAUGGUGUAGCGGUGAAAUGCUUAGAGAUCAUACAGAACACCGAUUGCGAAGGCAGCUUACCAAGCUACGUCUGACGUUGAGGCACGAAAGCGUGGGGAGCAAACAGGAUUAGAUACCCUUGUAGUC
rnacentral:rRNA from 1 species